ACUCCGUGCAUCAGUUAGGUCUUUUUCUCUUUCCAUUUAACUGCCUUUUACCUUGCUGGAUGUAAAUGACACUGCUCUCCUCUGAGACCCCCUCCAUUAUAGGCUCCUAGGAGGCAGGGAAACAAAAUGCAAGUCUUUCAUUCACAUCAGGUUGUUAUUGAUCUUCUUGAUCCCUCACCUUCCCCUUUUAAUGGUGCCACAAUAAAAUAUAGCAACAAUUUAUUUCAUGGUAGAACUUCCAUGACUUUCAUCUUAAGCCUGAAUAGGCAGAGACAUCAUACAGAUGUGUACUUCACUUAUUCACAUAUACCUUGAUAUGGAUUACUUGGAAAUAUCAUGACAUCAAUUUUUUUUCUUGUGUGAAACAUAUUCUUCUACUUAUUUCUAAAGCCUGYUCCGUUGCUUGGGUUCUAGAAUUAAUCACCUGCUGCUAUUUUGCAUUUUGAACCUGCCAUCAGAGACAGCUUUGCAAUACCUGUUGCAGAUAUCUCUCUGCCUCCACCUCACUUGCCUUUAAUCCACUGAGUGGGCGUUUGCCUUUGAUUGUAAGAAAGUUCUCAGAUCUCUCACCUUUCAUUUCCAAAUACCUGGAAGGUGACUUCCAGUCCUUUGACUAUUUUACCUAUCCUGCCCAAACUUAGGGCAAGGUAAAAAGGAGGUUCUGCAGUGUUACAAAUGACAAUAGGAUUUCUGGGGCAUUUACUGACCUGGUAAUAUUGCAUAAGGAAUUUUAUGAGUGGAUUUUCUUUWAGUUUGUGUGGAUGAAAUUUCCAGGUUGGAAAACUAUAAGUUCAAGAAAAUGUGAGACUAUAUUUCAACAUUUGAGCUGAGAAAGAAAUCUCCAGUCUCUUGAAGAACUGUUAAUAAGUUAAAUUGCUUAAGAUCUUGCUAAACCUGACCUUUUCCACAUUAAAAAGAAAUAGUAAUUUUAUUGGUUAUUUGAACAUUAUUUUGCGAUUAGAACUUCUCGUAUAUACUGGAUGGAAGAAAGGAGGGACAUGACCACACAGGAGCACAGUAACAUGUGAGUACACAGUAGCACAGAAAACUUUUCAUUAAARGUGUCUAGGUUUGGAUUCAUAUCCUUGGGCAACCCCAAACACAGUUCUUUUAAUGCUUGUCAAAGGGAUCCUCUUUAUCUCAACUGAAAGGAAAUCAAUAUUAUUAAUUGAACACAUAUCCAGUUCUGUUAUAUGAACUAGCGUAGAAAGGAGAAGACAAAAAGGCGAUUGAAUCAAUGGAGAAUGAUCAGGUAUUUUUCUUACUCUUUACACAAACAUCACUACUGCACUCUCUCAUCAAAUUUAAGCCACCCUCCAUGAUCAUGGGUACUGUGGAGCUGCAGUUUAGGUGAUGCUGAGAUCUUGUUUUUAGCUCUCAAUUGCCUUUUUGCAGAGUUGUAGAGCUUCCUUUAAGCCACGGUCAGACCAAAUGUGACAGAAAAACUGCGUUGUGCCAUCUGCAGCAGACAACAGGAAAAUAAACAUUCUUUAAAUUAUUGCAAGGCGUGGAUGAAGAGAUUUCCUCUGGGAUACUGGCAGAAACUAUUUAAAAGUUCAAGGGAAGAGGUUUCUACAGCUUUCCUGGCUUCCCAGUAAAACCUCAGAAGAUGUCCUGACAAGCUCUGCCUGACAUCUUUGCCUCCAGUUUCACAGUGAUGAUGACACCACCUUGGUUGCUUCCCUGGGAACCUGGCAAGGGCACGACUGUGCACAAAGGGAGUCUUCACUCAUUARAACAUACAGAGACAUUGUACCAAGAAGCCUUUUCCAUUUAUCCCCAAGUAAGAUUUUAAAGGAUCAAAAGGGGGGAGAAGAGAGGAGAAGACCUUUAAUGCAUUGUGUUUUAUAAUGAUGAUUUCCAUGGGACACUGAGCAUAUCAAAUCCCACAUUUCUGAAGAUCUUGUGGAGUCUUCAGUCAGACACGCACGUGUACCAUCAGCUGUUAACUGCAUGGAUGCUGGAGACCCAAGCAGCGCAGGCAUGAGGGUUUGUGAGCUGUGGAGCUGUGAGGAGUAGUCCUGCAGAAACCUCAGUGACAGAGGUCACGAAAUGCUGGCACUGCUCUUGGGAGUGAAAGUCACCUGACUGARGUGGAAAUGCACUGACCUGUUUCCCAAGCCAGUUUGGCCUGGAGCUCUGCGGAGUUCACAAACCUGUUUGCACGGUGUGAACCAGCCCUUGGGAGCAGACAGGUCCUCACCAGGCUGACCCCUGGAACCUGUGCCUGUGUCCCUGCCACCACACUCCUCAGCACCAUCCAGCCUCUGGCAGUGAAAUACAGUCCCACAGUUGUUUCUUCAUAUUCUGCUCAACUCUUUUUUUUCCAACAAAGCACCUCAUUAAGUCAGAUUAGGAGGAAACAGUAUGCCAGUUGGCCAGUCUUUAGCACACACUGAAUGCUGUCUUAAAUAGUUCCCAUAAUAUUAAUGCAUAGUGUCUUUGUCCUCAGGGCAUUUGUUAUUAUCAGAUGUUUCUCCUUCUUCCUGCUGCAUGAAGCUCAAAAUUGCAACAUAUGCUGCACAACACAUACCUUUGUUUCUUAACUCCUGCACCCACAUUUUCACCUGAUGUUUAUCAGCAUAGCUAAAAUCAGUCCAGGGCAGAUAUCCAGCUCUUCUGAAGGUACUCUGCCACACACCUGGGUCUGCCUGGUUGAUUGCUCCUAAAGCUCUUGCAACAGGAUAGAUUUCUGUGCAACCCUCCCUUCAUCUCURCAAGUAUGCAAAGCAGUGCUUAUGUCUCCAGAGUCAGGGAUUUAUCAGCUGGGGUGAAAUCUGCCUAACAACAAAGUGAAGGGGAUUUUGUGCACUGAAAGUACCUGAGCAGCAGGCAGGGAACAUCUGAGGUGGCUGCACACAUGGUUUUUGGGAUCGCAGGUGGUCUCUGGGGUGCCCUGCCCAUGGAAGGCAGGAUUCAUCACUGCUUUUGUGCCCCACGUUGCAGCACAGUGCAGUGACCCGAUGUUCCCUUGACUUACACAGUGUCCAGGAAAACUGGAUGGGACAUUCUGAGCAGCAGACAUUACUGUCAGGUCCACCUACCCACAUACAAACCCCUCCACUAGCAGAAGAGUGGAGGGAGGAACACUGGGCGGGGUGACUGUGAGCCUCAGGAGGCAGUCAUGUCCCCCACUGGUACCCCACGAACUGGCAGCAUGAGUGACGGCCCUAAAAAUCUUCUUAAUUGGCUUUUCUUAAAGAGCAGYUCCCUGCAAAAAUUCCAGCACUGAGAAAGGAAGUCAGUGGGGGUGUGUGGUUGAGUUAGGGUCAAAUGUGUCUGACUGAGAGCAAUCACAUUUCAGCACUUUUUUUUGAAGCCUCGAAUGAACACUGAGUUUUCAGGUUUUCUCUUUCUCUUUACCAUAAUUUUUGAUGGUAUUUAUUUUUUUUUAGUGGUUAUCUAAAGGCAAGUCCGAACUGUGGUCCCCUUAAUAACUGCAAAAGUAAUUGCUUCUUAACUCAGGUUCUUGGAAAUAGCAAAUGAUACUUUUCCUAUUUAUUUUGAAGGGUAUUGACAGCUUUCUGUUGCUAAAUAAGAGGUGUUUCAGUUCAGCAGACUGAAAGUAGGKCAUUGUCCCAAUCUGUACUUACAAUAACAAUGCAAAACAGAUUUUUGCAACUUUUUUGCAAAAAUUGCAUUUUGCAGAGCAGUGAUUUUGUUGGCACAGUAACACUUCAUCRUAUUUUGAACAAAGUCUGUAGGGUGAUAUGAGGACAGAUAAAAUAAUGCUUUAUCUGAGCUCAGAGGGCCCACAGAACAUCUAUACAACUGAAGCUACUUAAGACUCAAGGAAAUUAAAGCCAAGUUUCUGUCCUGAAGGGAAUC